UUUAUUUGAUGAUGACCCCUUUCCUUAAUUGGAUGGACUACAUGGAUAACCGUAGUAAUUCUAGAGCUAAUACAUGCGUAAAAUCCUGACUCUCGCUGGGGAAGGGAUGUAUUUAUUAGAUAAAAAACCAAUGUUUUUUUCUUUUCUUCUUUACUGAGGAAGGGAAGGGAACUUUUGUGUUGAUUCAUAAUAACUGAAACGAAUCGCAUUCAUAGUUUUUUUUCUUACUUUUCGAAGUAAGAAAGGCUGGCGAUAGUUCAUUCAAAUUUCUGCCCUAUCAGCUUUCGACGGUAGUGUAGUGGACUACCGUGGCAUUAACGGGUAACGGAGAAUUAGGGUUCGAUUCCGGAGAGGGAGCCUGAGAAAUGGCUACCACUUCCAAGGAAGGCAGCAGGCGCGCAGAUUACCCAAUCCUGACACAGGGAGGUAGUGACAAGAAAUAACAAUACCGGAUGUCUUAACAAAUGUCUGGUAAUUGGAAUGAGUACAAUUUAAACCCCUUAACAAGUAUCAAUUGGAGGGCAAGUCUGGUGCCAGCAGCCGCGGUAAUUCCAGCUCCAAUAGCGUAUAUUAAAGUUGCUGCAGUUAAAAAGCUCGUAGUUGGAUUUCUGAUCGGUGCCUUUGGGUCGCUUUGGCUAGCUUUUGGUCUUUAAUGGCCAAAGGUUAGUACCUGAGCGUGUUCCGAGGUUAAGCAAGAGGGAUUUGUUUACUUUUGUCUAGAUCGUUCGCGGUUUAGCAUGGUACGCCUUUUUGUCUUUUGCACCGAUCAUCCUUUCCGGGGGUAAAUUAACUUUGGUUAGUUUGCUUUUUUUUGCAUUCCCUUAAAAGAAUGUUUCAUUACCCGGAUCAUUUACUUUGAAAAAAUUAGAGUGUUUAAAGCAGGCUAUCAAGUCAAAUUUGGUUGCAUUUGAAUACAUUAGCAUGGAAUAAUAAGAUAGGACUCUGGUUCUAUCUUGUUGGUUUCUGGGACUAGAGUAAUGAUUGAUAGGGACAGUUGGGGGUGCUAGUAUUCACCGGCCAGAGGUGAAAUUCUUGGAUUCGUUGAAGACUAACUAAUGCGAAAGCAUUCACCAAGGAUGUCUUCUUUAAUCAAGAACGAAAGUUGAGGGAUCGAAGACGAUCAGAUACCGUCGUAGUCUUCAACCAUAAACUAUACCGACUAGGGAUGGGUGGCAGUUGUAAUAAAUAAUUUCAUUUGGUAAAACAAGAGGGGGAUUUUUUUCUCUUUUUUUUUGUCAUUUGAAGUUUAAUCGACUCCAUCCGCACCUUAUGAGAAAUCAAAGUCUUUGGGUUCUGGGGAGAGUAUGGUCGCAAGGCUGAAACUUAAAGGAAUUGACGGAAGGGCACCACCAGGAGUGGAGCCUGCGGCUUAAUUUGACUCAACACGGGGAAACUUACCAGGUCCAGACAUAGUGAGGAUUGACAGAUUGAAGCUCUUUCUUGAUCCUGUGGUUGGUGGUGCAUGGCCGUUCUUAGUUGGUGGAGUGAUUUGUCUGGUUAAUUCUGUUAACGAACGAGACCUCGACCUGCUAAAUAGACUCAUCAACCUCAAAUAGUUCCUUUCGGGGGAUUAUUUAGGUUGAUCUAAAUUUCUUAAUUUUCUUCGGUUAAUUGAGGGGUUUGGCUUUUGAUGGAGCGCUUCUUAGAGGGACUAUCGGUGUAUACUAGCCGAUGGAAGUUCGAGGCAAUAACAGGUCUGUGAUGCCCUUAGAUGCCCUGGGCCGCACGCGCGCUACACUGACGCAUUCAUCGAGCUUUACUUUGGUGUAGAUGGAGAGAGAAGGGGGAGAGGGAGUUAAAUCGUUUUCUCUUUUUUCUUUUUUUUCUUAUCAAAUUCACCUUGGCCGAGAGGUCUGGGUAAUCUUAGCAAAGUGCGUCGUGCUGGGGAUAGAUCAUUGUAAUUAUUGAUCUUC
rnacentral:rRNA from 1 species